GACGAACGCUGGCGGCGUGCCUAAUACAUGCAAGUCGAACGCAGGGGGGACGGGUGAGUAACACGUGGGCAACCUCCCAUCAGAGGGGAUAACACUUGGCAACAGGCGCUAAACCGACACUGAUGGAUGGACUCGCGGUGCAUUAGCUAGUUGGUGGGGUAACGGCUCACCAAGGCCACGAUGCGUAGCCGGCCUGAGAGGGUGAUCGGCCACACUGGGACUGAGACACGGCCCAGACUCCUACGGGAGGCAGCAGUAGGGAAUCUUGGGCAAUGGGCGAAAGUCUGACCGAGCAACGCCGCGUGUAUGAAGAAGGUUUUCGGAUCGUAAAGCUCUGUUGUUAGAGAAGCGGUAUCUAACCAGAAAGCCACGACUAACUACGUGCCAGCAGCCGCGGUAAUAC
rnacentral:rRNA from 1 species